rnacentral:rRNA from 1 species
GGGGGGGGGGGGGGGGGGGGGGGGGGCGGGGGGGGCGGGGGGCGGGGCGGGGGGGGCGUGCGCUUGCGGGGGGCGGGGGGCGGGCGGGUGGGGAGGACAUCGGGAUCUACUUUUUCGUGGGGGAUGACGGAGGGAAACUUACGCUACUACCGCAUACGACCUACGGGUGAAAGCCGGGGACCUUCGUCCCUUGCGCGAUUGCCUUCGCAGAUGUCGGAUUAGCUAGUUGGCGGGGUAAAGGCCCACCAAGGCGACGAUCCGUAGCUGGUCUGAGAGGAUGAUCAGCCACACUGGAACUGAGACACGGUCCAGACUCCUACGGGAGGCAGCAGUGGGGAAUAUUGGACAAUGGGCGCAAGCCUGAUCCAGCCAUACCGCGUGGGUGAAGAAGGCCUUCGGGUUGUAAAGCCCUUUUGUUGGGAAAGAAAAGCAGCAGGUUAAUACCCCGCUGUUCUGACGGUACCCAAAGAAUAAGCACCGGCUAACUUCGUG